rnacentral:misc_RNA from 1 species
CAAAGGAACUAUAAUCCUGCCAAUUCCUGAUCCAAUGUCCAUAACCGUUUUAGUAACAGGAGUGAUGAAUUUUUCGACUUGUUCUACACAUGCAUAAACUCCAUCUUCAUAGUUUGGUUCAGACCAAACAGCGAAGUAAGGGUCCUUCUUAGCUUCAUUUUCCCAAUAAUCUACUUCUCUCAUUUGGGCUCAUACAACAUGUGUACUUCGUGGUCUGUUGCAAGAUGAGUCCCUGUGUAAUGUAAAGAUUUCAUAUACUCAUCUAGCUUUUCUCCAGUAUCACCUGGAUACUUUUCAUCAAUCCACG